rnacentral:snRNA from 1 species
CAGCUAGUACACGUGCCGUU